GGUUGUGACUCAGUGGUAGAGCGCUUGCCUAGCAUGUGUGAGGCACUGGGUUCAAUUCUCAGCACCA
rnacentral:tRNA from 1 species